UACGGGGGGGGCAAGCGUUGUUCGGAAUUACUGGGCGUAAAGGGCGCGUAGGCGGCCUUCUAAGUCAGACGUGAAAUCCCCCGGCUUAACCUGGGAACUGCGUCUGAUACUGGAUGGCUUGAGUUUGGGAGAGGGAUGCGGAAUUCCAGGUGUAGCGGUGAAAUGCGUAGAUAUCUGGAGGAACACCGGUGGCGAAGGCGGCAUCCUGGACCAACACUGACACUGAUGAGCGAAAGCCAGGGGAGCAAACGGG
rnacentral:rRNA from 1 species